CUUGGCCUGACUGCUUAAACUGGAACAUACAUCUUCUUAUGAACAAGGAGCUCCUGGUUCUCAAGCCUUUAGACCUGGACUGGAAUCUACACCACUGGCUCUCUGGCCUUCUAACUGCACCACCAGAUUACCUGAGUCUCCAGCUUGCAGAUGGUGUUGUGGGAGACACCUGAUGAGAGGUGACUGGAUCACGGGGCCAGUUUCCCCCAUGCUGUUCUCAGGAUACUGCGUGAGUUCUCAUGAGAUCAGAUGGAUUUUUAAGGAGCUCUUCCCCCUUUGCUUCCUUCACACACUCUCUCCUCUGCCUUUUGAAGAAGGUCCUUGUUUCCCCUUCACCUUGCACCAUGAUUGGAAGUUUCCUGAGGCCUCCCCAGCUAUGUGGAACUUCUCCUGCUGGUGCUCCCAUUUGCUGAACUCAACUGGAAGCCAGAGGAUUCUCCAGCUUGUUGGUGCAGUCCAUGGAUAUUAGCCUCACAGGGCACACUGUGAGGGCACAAAGGAUGGAAAAGAAUAAAGAGUGGCCUAGAGGGUCAAACAGAAAAAGACUCUAGUACAGAACCCAUGAAAAAUUUACUGCAGAUGAAAGGGAAGAAAACUUCACGCUAAAGCAAAAAAGAAGUACAGACUUCUGAAAAAUAUUUACUAUAGGAACUAGAAGAGCAUUUUAAAAUAAGCUUGGUAUUCUCAGUAGGAUAAAAAAAAGAGCAAAUCUCUAUGAAACAGAAAGCUUAUAAGGAGAAAAAAAUAUUCAGAGGUAGGUAAAGCUAGGUGAAAUAAUGACUCUUUUUUAAAAAAUUAAAGAUAUAGAAGCAAAAGCAAUAACCAGAAAAACUGACAUGUUUGAAACUCAAAUAAGUUCUAGUCAAUAUGGCAAAUUAGCCAAUGUAGAAGAUCUUUCCUCCCACUUCAAAUGUAGAAAUGAUCCAUGAACAUUUUACUAAUAAAAUACAACAGUUAAAAUUUAAAUUCAAAGCCAAGCUUAAAACUAAAAAUGAGAUAUCCCUGGUACUAGAAAAUAAGAGAAAACUUAAAGCACUAUUGAGUGAGAAUGAAAACAAAUGUCUUAUAGAACAUCCUAAUUUGAUAUAUCUCUAAAUGCCUGGAUUUUUGACAACUUCAGUGAGAUGCUUAGGGUGUCUAUAGGCCUGGUGCAUAGGAGAUGAAAGUUUUAUACAUAAAGAGAAGAGAUUUAUACAUAAAGAGAAGAAUCUGCCAGAGUUAUCCUGUCCAAUUAAGAAAAUGUGCACAUAUACACCAUGGAAUACUAUGCAGCCAU
rnacentral:lncRNA from 1 species